rnacentral:lncRNA from 1 species
ACAAUUGUUAAAUUCAUUCUUUAUAAUCGUGUUUCAAGAUGGAUGCGGAGGUACCAACAACAAAUAAUUUUGUUGGCUAAGGUGAAUGUUUAUAGAACAUAAUUUUCUAUGUGUUUUUUUAUUCAUAUGGUAUUUAAAUUAUUGUUGAAAUAUUUUAUAUUGUUCAAAAACUGAUUUCAUUCAAAACAAUUUUAUGUUUAUAUCAGAUUUGCAUUUAUCUAUGAUAUUUGUAGUUAUUUUAACUCAAAUUUUUUCUUCACCACCGACCGCAUCUUCCAUGGCUACUGACAAAAGUGGACUAACAACCGCUUCAUCUAAGCUCCAAUAUCAAGUGUGUAUGUUUUCACACCUCUAAUUUUUUUUCUUUUUCUAAUUGUUAACCAAAGUGGAACAUGAAUCUCUUAUUAACUACCAUUCGAAGAGAGAAACCACAAGGUUCAACUAAUCAGAGCCUAAGUACUAAUUAAGCAUGAGGGAUGUGAAAAAAAUUGAUUAAAAUUGAAAAAAGGUGAGGAAGGUCAAUCUAGAAGAAUUGUGUAUUUUGGUCGAAAACCUAUGAAAACUUCAGAUGAUGAUUUUACUUCACAUAUUAGCAUAUCAGCUGGGCAGUAGUGAUACUUGGUUCAAAGUGCUUGGAAUGAGGAUUUUUAUGUGUUACAAAGAUACAAAGUAAUGAUUGUUCUAUAUGGUUGUUCUAUUUUUCACAUUUAGGAAAGAAGUAUAAAAAUUAAAGUUCGUGAAAUUGUCGUGUGCAUAUGUUUCGCGACAUAUAGCAUCGUUGUAUUGUAACAUAUGAUUUCUUUUAACCGUAAAACUUUUGUUCUAAUAUAUAUGCUUUAGAAUUCACUUUUGCCUGAUAUAUAGUUUAUUUGCAUGAAGACUAGUUAUGUGUUUAGUAAUCAAAUUUAAAAUAUGAG